CCUACGGGAUGCAGCAGUGGGGGAUAUUGCACAAUGGGGGGAACCCUGAUGCAGCGACGCCGCGUGGGUGAAGGAGUGCUUCGGCAUGUAAAGCCCUAUCGGCAUGGAAGAAGCAAGACGGUACCUGACUAAGAAGCCCCGGCUAACUACGUGCCAGCAGCAGCGGUAAUACGUAGGGGGAGAGCGUUAUCCGGAUUCACUUGGUGUAAAGGGCGCGUAGACGGCCCUGCACGCCAGGGGUUAACGCCCGUGGCCCAACCCCGGGACUGCCCUUGGAACUGCAUGGCUGGAGGGCGGGAGGGGCAGGAGGAAUGCCGGGUGUAGCGGUGAAAUGCGGAGAUAUCAGGAGGAACACCGGCGGCGAAGGCGGCCUGCUGGACCGCGACUGACGUUGAGGCUCGAAAGCGUGGGGAGCGAACAGGAUUAGAUACCCGAGUAGUC
rnacentral:rRNA from 1 species